CAAAGAUGAAUUUAUUAGUAGGAUUAUGAACAUAAACUGUGAUUUGGUAUAACCAUAAUCUUUGAUGUUUCAGGUGAUGAAAAUUAUCUUUGUCCUGGAUGAGAAAAAGAAUUUAGAACUACAAUUACGAUUAUGAGUUAUACAUGUGAUUGUGGACAGGAAUUGUUGAUUGAUGUUACACUGAUAAAACAUUGUUGGUG
rnacentral:lncRNA from 1 species